AGUUCCUUACUGAGACCUAGACAACCAGGUGAGGAGAGUUCCUUACUGAGACCUAGACAACCAGGUGAGGGGAGUUCCUUACUGAGACCUAGACAACCAGGUGAGGAGAGUUCCUUACUGAGACCUAGACAACCAGGUGAGGGGAGUUCCUUACUGAGACCUAGACAACCAGGUGAGAAGAGUUCCUUACUGAGACCUAGACAACCAGGUGAGGGGAGUUCCUUACUGAGACCUAGACAACCAGGUGAAGAGAGUUCCUUACUGAGACCUAGACAACCAGGUGAGGGGAGUUCCUUACUGAGACCUGGACAACCAGGUGAGGGGAGGUCCUUACUGAGACCUAGACAACCAGGUGAGGGGUGUUCCUUACUGAGACCUAGACAACCAGGUGAGGGGUGGUCCUUACUGAGACCUAGACAACCAGGUGAGGGGAGUUCCUUACUGAGACCUAGACAACCAGGUGAGGAGAGACCUAGACAACCAGGUGAGGGGAGUUCCUUACUGACACCUAGAUAACCAGGUGAGGAGAGUUCCUUACUGAGACCUAGACAACCAGGUGACCGGAGUUCCUUACUGAGACCUAGAGAACCAGGUGAGGGGAGACCUAGACAAACAGGUGAGGGGAGACCUAGACAACCAGGUGAGGGGAGUUCCUUACUGAGACCUGGACAACCAGGUGAGGGGAGUUCCUUACUGAGACCUGGACGACCAGGUGAGGGGAGUUCCUUACUGAGACCUAGACAACCAGGUGAGGGGAGUUCCUUACUGAGACCUAGACAACCAGGUGAGGAGAGACCUAGACAACCAGGUGAGGGGAGACCUUUUACACGUGUCAAGUAGUAUCUGGUCCUAUCAUCAUCAUCAUCAUCAUCAUCAUCUCAUAAACAGUAGCCCUGAUCUGAGCAGGUUUAUUUAUACCACAUUUUUUCAGAUCAAGGGAUAGUUCAAUCAAAUUACAAAAAACGUACACCUUAGUUUCCUCACCCUGUAUAAAAUCCCCCAAAAUGUUCAGCAGUGAAGUUCUCAAGAUGGACUUUCAGUACAGCGGUGUUCCCCAAUCCUGGUCCCAAGGGAUGCACACUGUUGUUUUUUUGCCUCAGCACUCACAUACCUUAUUCAAUUCAAAGGUCCUUUUGAUCCCCUGGACCAGGAAACACUGCAGUAUAGAGCCAAUGAGAGGGAUGAUGCUAAUGAUAUGAUAAUAAUUAUAAUAAUGUUUCUCAUUUGUGUCAUCAUCACUGUUUGCUCUGUACUGAAAGUGCUCCAUCUUGAAAACUUGAUUUGCUAACAUGCACGAUUGUUGGGAUUAUAUUAACAAUGGACUAAAUAAACAAAAUACUACAAUAAAUAUUUUGAUAAACAUCCCAUUCAUAGCAGCUACCACUCCAUUCAGGAAAGCUGUGUCGAGUAACUUUUGCUCCAUCGCCUCCACAUCCUGCACAGUAUUCACAGGGAAACAGCACCCGUCGUAUUCACAGGGAAACAGCACCCGUCGUAUUCACAGGGAAACAGCACCCGUCGUAUUCACAGGGAAACAGCACCCGUCGUAUUCACAGGGAAACAGCACCCGUCGUAUUCACAGGGAAACAGCGCCCGUCGUAUUCACAGGGAAACAGCACCCGUCGUAUUCACAGGGAAACAGCACCCGUCGUAUUCACAGGGAAACAGCACCCGUCGUAUUCACAGGGAAACAGCACCCGUCGUAUUCACAGGGAGACAGCACCCGUCGUAUUCACAGGGAGACAGCACCCGUCGUAUUCACAGGGAGACAGCACCCGUCGUAUUCACAGGGAAACAGCACCCGUCGUAUUCACAGGGAGACAGCACCCGUCGUAUUCACAGGGAAACAGCGCCCGUCGUAUUCACAGGGAAACAGCACCCGUCGUAUUCACAGGGAGACAGCGCCGUCGGGUUGUGCUGCUGUCACGGUGGUACCACUGUGAGGUCCUGACUCCUCUUCCUCCAUGUCUGAGUCAGUCUGAGAUCAGAAGUCUCUUCUGCCUUUUUA
rnacentral:lncRNA from 1 species